GAAUACCCGGCUAGGGACACGAGAGACAGGAAUCGGGGUUUCUGGGUGACGGUGAUCUCGGGGUGGGCAGGACUCCAAAGGCCCGUCGACCCGGUGGUGGACUCCUUGCACUGGGAUUGGACAUAUGCAAGCGGGAGAUUUGGGGCCGGCGCUCAAAAUCGGGGGGCGGGGGUGGACUCGGGUUUGGACCCCAGGAUCCGAUCAGCGGACCCCUGAUUCAACGUGAGGUCCCGAAUUGACGUCCUUCCCUCAAAACCUCCGGGUCUACAAACCAGGACCCUCAGGACCCUUCAGGGCUCCAGCGUGACAUGGCUGAAGCGCACCAGGCCGUGGGCUUCCGACCCUCGCUGACCUCGGACGGGGCUGAAGUGGAACUCAGUGCCCCUGUGCUGCAGGAGAUCUACCUCUCUGGCCUGCGCUCCUGGAAAAGGCAUCUCUCACGUUUCUGGAAUGACUUUCUCACCGGUGUGUCUCCUGCCAGCCCCCUCAGUUGGCUUUUCCUCUUCAGUGCCAUCCAGCUUGCCUGGUUCCUCCAGCUGGAUCCUUCCUUAGGACUGAUGGAGAAGAUCAAAGAGUUGCUGCCUGACUGGGGUGGACAACACCACGGGCUCCGGGGGGUCCUGGCAGCCGCGCUGUUUGCCUCGUGUUUGUGGGGAGCCCUGAUCUUCACACUGCACGUGGCCCUGAGGCUGCUUCUGUCCUACCACGGCUGGCUUCUUGAGCCCCACGGAGCCAUGUCCUCCCCCACCAAGACCUGGCUGUACCUGGAGUCGGUCCGGCCCGUCCUCUCAGACGAGGACUUCGACUGGACCGCGGUCCUGGCGCAGGAAUUCCUGAGGCUGCAGGCGUCGCUGCUGCAGUGGUACCUGCGGCUCAAGUCCUGGUGGGCGUCCAAUUAUGUCAGUGACUGGUGGGAGGAAUUUGUGUACCUGCGCUCCCGAAAUCCGCUGAUGGUGAACAGCAAUUAUUACAUGAUGGACUUCCUGUAUGUCACACCCACACCUCUGCAGGCAGCUCGCGCUGGGAAUGCCGUCCAUGCCCUCCUCCUGUACCGCCACCGCCUGAACCGCCAGGAGAUACCCCCGACUUUGCUGAUGGGAAUGCGCCCCUUAUGCUCUGCCCAGUACGAGAAGAUCUUCAACACCACGCGGAUUCCAGGGGUCCAAAAAGACUACAUCCGCCACCUCCAUGACAGCCAACACGUGGCUGUCUUCCACCGGGGCCGAUUCUUCCGCAUGGGGACCCACUCCCGAAACAGCCUGCUUUCCCCGAGGGCCCUGGAGCAGCAGUUUCAGAGAAUCCUGGAUGAUCCCUCACCGGCCUGCCCCCACGAGGAACAUCUGGCAGCUCUGACAGCUGCUCCCAGGGGCACGUGGGCCCAGGUGCGGACAUCCCUGAAGACCCAGGCAGCGGAGGCCCUGGAGGCGGUGGAAGGGGCCGCUUUCUUUGUGUCACUGGAUGCUGAGCCCGCGGGGCUCACCAGGGAGGACCCGGCAGCAUCGUUGGAUGCCUACGCCCAUGCUCUGCUGGCCGGCCGGGGCCAUGACCGCUGGUUUGACAAAUCCUUCACCCUAAUCGUCUUCUCUAACGGGAAGCUGGGCCUCAGCGUGGAGCACUCCUGGGCCGACUGCCCCAUCUCAGGACACAUGUGGGAGUUCACUCUGGCUACAGAAUGCUUUCAGCUGGGCUACUCAACAGACGGCCACUGCAAGGGGCACCCGGACCCCACACUACCCCAGCCCCAGCGGCUGCAAUGGGACCUUCCAGACCAGAUCCACUCCUCCAUCUCUCUAGCCCUGAGGGGAGCCAAGAUCUUGUCUGAAAAUGUCGACUGCCAUGUCGUUCCAUUCUCCCUAUUUGGCAAGAGCUUCAUCCGACGCUGCCACCUCUCUUCAGACAGCUUCAUCCAGAUCGCCUUGCAACUGGCCCACUUCCGGGUCAGUUGGGUUCCCCAUCCACAGCCCCCUCAGGGUCUCAGUCCACCUGAGCCCCCAAGACCUGCCCCUCCACGGUUCCUUGUGGUCGCUGCCAUUGUGGGUUGGCCAUCUUGAAUUCUCUCUCCCAACCAUUCUUGGGCUGGCUGGAGGAGGCUGGAGGUCUGGACAGAGAUAGGUCAAGUCUGUAAGAUUUCCUGAGCCCAGCUGACAGACUCCUCUUCUCCUCCCUGUCCCCCAGGACAGGGGUCAAUUCUGCCUGACUUAUGAGUCGGCCAUGACUCGCUUAUUCCUGGAAGGCCGGACGGAGACGGUGCGGUCUUGCACGAGGGAGGCCUGCAACUUUGUGAGGGCCAUGGAGGACAAAGAGAAGACGGUGGGUGCAGCCCUCGUUUGAGGCUUCAGUCACUUCUGUUUACUCACUCAUCCACUUGCAAACGUUGAUGGGACCUACUGAAGCCAGCCUCCACGAGGGGCACAAGGGACAAGGGAUGAAUCAGACCUGGCCUCUGACUUCAAAGAGCUCACUGAUGGGGGGAGACAGCCCAGCAUGGUGUGAUAUCUGCUUUCAUGGUGGUCUCACA
rnacentral:sRNA from 1 species